rnacentral:rRNA from 1 species
ACGCUGGCGGCGUGCCUAAUACAUGCAAGUCGAGCGCAGGAAGUUAUCUGAUCCUCUUUUAGAGGUGACGAUAAUGGAAUGAGCGGCGGACGGGUGAGUAACACGUAGGCAACCUGCCUGUAAGACUGGGAUAACUCGUGGAAACGCGAGCUAAUACCGGAUAACACUUUUCAUCUCCUGAUGAGAAGUUGAAAGGCGGCUUUUGCUGUCACUUACAGAUGGGCCUGCGGCGCAUUAGCUAGUUGGUAAGGUAAUGGCUUACCAAGGCGACGAUGCGUAGCCGACCUGAGAGGGUGAUCGGCCACACUGGGACUGAGACACGGCCCAGACUCCUACGGGAGGCAGCAGUAGGGAAUCUUCCGCAAUGGACGAAAGUCUGACGGAGCAACGCCGCGUGAGUGAUGAAGGUUUUCGGAUCGUAAAACUCUGUUGUUAGGGAAGAACAAGUGCCAUAGUAACUGAUGGCACCUUGACGGUACCUAACCAGAAAAGCCACGGCUAACUACGUGCCAGCAGCCGCGGUAAUACGUAGGUGGCAAGCGUUGUCCGGAAUUAUUGGGCGUAAAGCGCUCGCAGGCGGUUCUUUAAGUCUGAUGUGAAAUCUUACGGCUCAACCGUAAACGUGCAUUGGAAACUGGGGAACUUGAGUGCAGAAGAGGAGAGUGGAAUUCCACGUGUAGCGGUGAAAUGCGUAGAGAUGUGGAGGAACACCAGUGGCGAAGGCGACUCUCUGGUCUGUAACUGACGCUGAGGAGCGAAAGCGUGGGGAGCGAACAGGAUUAGAUACCCUGGUAGUCCACGCCGUAAACGAUGAGUGCU